GGAGGCUACCGCUAUUGGAGUUCGAUUAAGCCAUGCGAGUCGCGAGAAAUUAGAUUCUCGGCGUACCGCUCAGUAACACGUGGGUAACCUGCCCUAUGCUGGAUAAUAACCUCGGGAAACUGAGUAUAAUGAUCCAUAGUUCACUACGCCUGGAACGAUGAGUGGAUGAAAGCUCCGGCGGCAUAGGAUGGGCCUGCGGCGUAUCAGGUAGUAGGGGGUGUAACGUACCCUCUAGCCCUCUACGCGUACGGGUGUUGGGAGACAUAGCCCGGAGAUGGAUUCUGAGACACGAAUCCAGACCCUACGGGGUGCAGCAGGCGCGAAAACUUGGCAAUGCGAGAAAUCGUGACCAGGGAACUCCAAGUGCAUCGGGUAAGACCGGUGCUUUUCUUGACUCUAAAUAGGUCUUGGAAUAAGGGGUGGGUAAGGACGGUGC
rnacentral:rRNA from 1 species